GCCGGCAGCUAGCUCUCUGCAACUCUUACAUAGUUGCCCACUGAAAUUAAGCAGGGCUGUGCCUGAUCAUUACCUGGAUGGGAGACCACAUGGGAAAGCUAGGUUGCUGUCGGAA
ensembl:rRNA 5S_rRNA 5S ribosomal RNA